rnacentral:lncRNA from 1 species
GCUCAUGAAAAACUGUGAACAAUUUUGACCUGAAAACGUUGCAAGGAAAUGGAAUUUGAUCUGUCUAUGUGGGAAAGUUUCAGUAAGAGUGUAUUUAUACACUCUAAUACACCUUCAUUUAUUGCUUGUUUCAUUAAGAAACAUCUGUUUCUUAAUUUACUUCGUUUCGCUAUGAUAGAGAAUGAACUUUGUUGGUUCAUUUGGGAAUUUUGUUUCCUUGAAUUCACUUUUUGAUUCAUUGAUGUCUCUAAGCUACUUAUCUCAUCUUGUAUUCAUUCUGGCAGGCUGAUGGCUAGAUUUUUUUGUGGACUUUAGAUAUUAUAUAUCGAUACAGCAACAGUGAGUAUCACUUGAAAUUAAACCUUAUUUUACAAAUGUUUUGAUAUACCAAAAUAAUAACACACACAAAAAAAGUAGUCCGUAUAUAUAUUCACGGGAAAUUAAAUAUAUAUUCAAGAUUACACAACUAUGAUAAAGCACACAAUAUAUUAAAACUAGCAUAUGACUAGGAAGCAGACCCCAACGUGUAGGGAGAGAAAAUGGAGAGCAUUUUAUACCUUAGUCUUUCAGUCGAAGUCUUUGCUGCAAUUUGACUGUCUCCAAUGCCAUUGUCAAUCUGAUCCAAUCUUCUAGUUUAUUCACUAGCCGAAAGUAUUUAUGUCUCCAAGACCUGCUAAUAAUUAACGAACCGAAAACACCCCAAAAUCCAACAAGAAAUCCAACUGUCAUUCCAGUAAAAAACCUGUAAUAAAAACCCACAAAACAUUUGUUGCCAAGUUUUUACAUUUAUGAGGGAUGAAGGUACAUCAUUUGAAAAAACUUAUUGCUCCUCAAACUCACUGAUGGACCCUGCUCUAUCAAAUCCAUUGAGCUUGCUAUUAUUCCCAAUAAAUUAUCAUUUGAAAUACUAAUGAUUUAAUGUCGCUGUAGCUGUAGUCAGAAUUUCAAACCUCAUUAUAUAUGAUGAAGUUGGUCAGUAUGAAGCAAACACUCGACAGCAGGCAGGCCAUGAAGACCAAGCUAUGUAGGAGCUGCUGAUGCAAGCUUAUUUUGCUCAUUUUGUAAUUUCUAGUCAAUGAAAUGUAAUUUAGUUCAUUUAGAACUAUGUUAGGUAGAUGAUUGAUGUAAUUUUCUAUCAUAUGAGCUGUUAAUUCAACUUUGCUUGUAUGCACAAGUUAAUUACUUCAAGUUUCAAUGUUUAGUGGUGUUAGGUAACCAUUAGGUGAAUGUUUACUGUUUUUGACAAGCUUAGAGCUUGAUUUAUGUAUUGGCAUUUUGCCACUGUUAAUUCUAUGAAUGAAUCAAGUUUUGUUCAUCAAAUACUCUCCAUUUUUCUAGCUUUUUCUUUUUUUUCUUUUGCUCGAAUUUAUUUGUUUGCUCAGCAAGCAUCGAGGCUUGUUGCACAAGACACUUGCCGAGUCUGUUAUUUCUGUUAGUGCACCAAAAAUUGGUAUCUAGAGCCUAUUUCUUAAGGGACCUGGUAUUCAAUGAAUGGCUUCAUCAAACUUUUCACCAGCUACACCAUAAGUUUUCAAUGGGGAAGGCUAUCACAUAUGAGUGGUCAAAAUGAAGACCUACCUGCAGGCUUUCGAUCUGUGGGAGGUGGUCAACUUUGAUGUUGAACCAGAGCCACUUAGAGCUAAUCCAACAGUGGCUCAGAUAAGGCAGCAUGCUGAUGAGAGGACCAAGAGGCACAAGGCCAUGUCCUGCAUACAGAACUCAGUGUCAGAUGUGAUUUUCACAAGGAUUAUGGCUUGUGAAACACCAAAGCAGGCCUGGGAUAAGUUGAAAGAGGAGUUUCAAGGGACAGAGAGGACAAGGCAUCAACAGUUGUUAAAUUUAAUGAGAGAAUUCGAGAACUUGAAGAUGAAGGAAGAAGAAAGUGUCAAGCAAUAUUCUGACAGGAUUAUGGCUGUGGUAAACAGCAUAAGGCUCCUUGGUGAGCAGUUCAGUGAAGCUGGGAUAGUGGAGAAGGUGAUUUCAACAUUACCAGAGAGGUAUGAGGUAAAAAUCUCAUCUCUCGAAGACUUAAGGGACUUGACCAGUAUUCCCUUGACAGAGCUUAUCAAUGCUCUUUAUGCACAAGAGCAGAGAAGAGCUAGCAGACUGGAGGAGCACCAGGAAGGUGCCUUUUAGGCAAAAACCAAUACUGCCUAUAAAGGCAAGAAGACCUGGAAAAAUAGGCCUAAGCCUGAUGCUACAAGGGGCAAUGACCAACCUUGCAGGCAUUGCAAGAGGCCUAGUCAUCCAGAAGAAAAAUGUUGGUUCAAUCCAGAUGCUGUAUGCCAGUAUUGCAAAAAGAAGGGUCAUGCUGAAAGAGUCUGCAAAAGCAAGGCCAAAUCAAGGCAGAAUCAGUUUCAACAGAUGAAAGCUGAGGCUCGAGUAGCCAAGGAGGACAGUGACCAAGAGGAGUAAGUUUUUACUGUGUCAUGCUCAGCUGUACAGGAGAGGCUCUCAUCUGGUUGGCUUCUAGACAGUGGAUGCACCAAUCACAUGACACCUGAUGCUGCAAUCUUCAAAUCUUUAGACAGAAACUGCAGAACCAAAAUCAAAAUAGGUAAUGGCCACUUUAUUCAAGCUGAAGGCAAGGGUGAUGUGCUGAUAUGCACUCCCACAGGUGCCAAAGUGAUUUCAAAUGUGCUCCUGGUGCCUGAAAUUGACAGAAACCUGCUCAGUAUAGCUCAACUGCUGGAGAGAGGUUAUUCUGUGAUGUUCAAAGAUAACCAAUGCCAAAUCAGUGAUCCAAGUGGAUCCAAGCUGAUGGCAGUCCCUAUGACUGAUAAGAGCUUUGUAGUUGACUGGACAAUAGAGUCAGACACUGCCUACGCAGCUACAACAGUUGAAUCCAAGCUUUGGCAUUAAAGGCUUGGACAUGCCAAUUUCAGAUCAAUGGCUCAAAUGGUCAGAGAAGGAUUAGCUGAAAACUUCACCAACAUAGUGAAGCAUGAUGAUGUGUGUGAAGUAUGUCAGCUAGGCAAGCAGGCUAAACUUCCAUUUCCCUCAAAUCAAGCCUGGAGAGCCUCUGAAAGAUUGCAAUUGGUGCACACUGAUGUGUAUGGCCCCAUGAAGACUGAUUCAUUAAGUGGAAACAGGUAUUUCAUAUUGUUCAUUGAUGAUUUCUCGAGAUAUUGUUGGCUUUACUUCUUGAAACAGAAAUCAGAGGUGGCCUCUGUGUUUUGGAAGUUCAAAACUGCUGCUGAAAUUGAAACAGGUUGCAAGCUAAAGACCAUAAGGUCUGAUAAUGGGACUGAGUAUACCUCAGCUCAGUUCCAAGCCUUUUGUGAUAAGGCAGGCAUCAAAGAUCAACUUACCAACACUUAUACACCUCAGUCAAAUGGUGUGAGUGAAAGGAAGAAUAGGAGUUUGAUGGAUAUGGCUAGGUGCCUGGUGAUUCAGAAGAAACUGCCUAAAGCUCUAUGGGCAGAAGCAGUUAACACUACAACAUACAUUCAAAACAGGCUUCCAACCAAAGCUUUGGACCAGAAGACUCCAUUCGAGGCCUGGUUUGGAUUCAAACCAUCACUGGCUCAUCUGAAGGUCUUUGGAUGCAUCUGUUAUGCACAUGUACCUGCUGUUAAAAGGGACAAAUUGUCUGAAAGGGCUCGACCUGGUAUUCUGAUGGGCUACAGCACUGUCAAGAAGGGUUUUAGGAUCUUGGAUCCUUCAACAAACAAAUUGUCAGUCAGCAGGGAUGUGGUAUUUGAUGAAAGGUCAUGUUGGAACUGGGAAAGACAUGAACCUGAGGAAGUUUCAGAAGAACUUGCAGCAGAUCAAGCUGAGCCAGACCAAAAUGGUCCUGAAAUGGACAUUGAUGAUAAAACAGUCAGGGGAAUAAGACCAUUGACUGAGAUUUAUGAAAGGGCUCAUGUAGCCAUAGCUGAACCAAGCAACUUUGAAGAGGCUGAAGCUCAGCAAGGGUGGAAGCAGGUAAUGGCUGAGGAGAUCAGCAUGAUUGAGAAGAACCAGACCUAGAAAUUGGUUGAAAGGCCAGUCAAAAAGAAGGUAAUUGGGGUGAAAUGGGUGUACAAAGCCAAGCAAAAUGCUGAUGGAACCUUGAACAAACUAAAAGCAAGGCUAGUUGUCAAGGGGUUCAGUCAAAAAUAUGGCCUGGACUAUCUGGAGACCUUUGCACCAGUGGCCAGGCUUGACACCAUCAGACUGCUGAUUACCUUAGCAGCACAGCUCGAAUGGAAGAUCCAUCAACUAGAUGUGAAGUUAGCUUUUUUGAAUGGCUUCUUAGAUGAAGACAUUUAUGUUGAUCAACCACAAGGGUUUGAGAUAGUUGGCAAAGAGCACAUGGUCUAUAAACUGAAGAAGGCCCUAUAUGGCUUAAAACAGGCUCCAAGGGCCUGGUAUUCCAGAAUCGAUGGCUACUUGACUAAUUUGGGAUUUUUUCGAAGCAAGAGUGAACCAACACUGUAUGUCAAGAAGGAAGGGGCACAAACACAGCUCAUUGUGUCCCUAUAUGUUGAUGACCUGCUGGUGACAGGAGGAGAUCAAACAAUGCUGGUCAAUUUCAAGACCAAGAUGCAGGAGGUGUUUGAAAUGUCUGAUCUAGAGGAGAUGUCCUAUUUUCUUGGAAUGGAGGUGUCACAAACACAAAAUGGGAUAUUCCUAAGUCAGAAAAGCUUUGCCACAAAGAUUCUGACCAAGUUCUCCAUGCAGAACAACAAGGCAACUAAAACUCCUAUUGCUGUUAGAGAGAAACUAUCGAGCCAAGGUGAAUUUGAGAGAGUUUGUGAAACUACCUACAGAAGUCUAGUUGGUUGUUUGCUAUACUUAACUGCCACUAGGCCAGACAUAAUGUAUGCUGUAGGAUUGCUCUCAAGAUUCUUGCAUUGCUGCAAUGAGAAGCAUUUUCAGGCUGCAAAAAGAGUGCUCAGAUAUAUCAAAGGCACUUUAAGCUAUGGUUUGAAGUAUAGCAAGGAAGAAAAUCUGAAGCUGGUUGGCUAUACUGAUAGUGACUAGGCUGGCUCGAUAGAUGAUAUGAAAAGCACCUCAGGGUAUACUUUUAACCUUGGUUCAGCCAUGUUCUGCUGAAGCUCGAAGAAGCAAAGCCUGGUGGCUCAAUCUACUGCUGAAGCAGAGUAUGUGGCAGCAGCAAGUGCUGUCAACCAAGCCAUUUGGCUAAGGAAAAUCUUUGCCGAUUUGAAUGUACAUCAAAGAGAAGCAACAGAGAUCUUUUGUGACAACCAAUCUACUGUUGCAAUUGCUAAAAAUCUAGUGUUCCAUGGAAGAACAAAGCAUUUCAGCAUUAAAUUGCAUGUUGUUCGAGAAAUGGAGCAAGCACAAGAGAUGAAGCUAAUUCAUUGUAAUUUAGAGGAUCAACUUGCUGACUGUAACACCCCUUAACCCCGAACCGUCGUCGGAAUAGGGUUACGAGGCAUUACCGAAAGUAUCAAACAGUUUACAACAAAUCUGCCCAAUCGCGCAGCAGUUACUAAAUUACUUAUAAUUUUAGCUACGGAACUCAAAAUUUAAUUCCAUAAAUUUUCCCUGAAACUAGACUCGUAUAUCUUCCUACCAUAAAAAUUUCAUAAUUUUUGGUCCAGCCAAUUAGUACAGUUUAUUAGUUAAAGUAAGCCCUGUUUCACCAAUUGACUGCCCUGACCUCUUGUCACUAAAAAUAAAAUUUCUCAUUGUAGGAUUGUCAUAUGAAGUUAUUACUUGUUUCUAGAGAAAAUAGACUCAAUAAGGAUUCUAUACAUAUAAACUACAACUCAUAAUUAUUUUUUUACCAUUUUUAGUGAUUUUCUAAACUUAGAAUAGGGGACUCCAAAAACAGUUCUGACCCUGUCUCACUAAAAUUCACAUAUCUUAAAAUAUAAAAUUCUUUUUGCUAAACCGUUAUUUUUAUAUGAAAAUAGACUUAACAAGCUUUAAUUUAAUAUAUCAUUCACCCUCUAAUUCAUUUUAUACUAUCCUAGGUGAUUUUUCAAAGUUACGUCACUGUUGCUGCCUGAAUUCUGUUUCUUUGCAAAGUUUACCCUUUCUUGAUUUUCAUACUUAACCAUUUUAAAAGCCAAACAUUAUCACAUGCUCACACAUCUUUCUUUAGCAAUCUCAUAGAUACAACAUUCAAAAUGACUAAUCCCUAUACAUCACUUAGGUUUAUACAUUACCUAGGUACAUGUCACAUUAUCAACAGAAAGGUACAUCACUAAAAUGUCUCUGAGGUCGGGAUUACUUUGGAUGCUGGAUCGAACACUAGUUUUUUUACUAACCUGCGCACGGAAACAACCGUACGCUGAGUAUGGGUAUACUCAGUGGUAUUACCAUAAUUCAAAUUAAUAACAUUAAUCGAUAAAUUAUAAAUAUUUUAUUUAUGUCUACAAUUAUUCAUUAAUUAUCUCAUACAUUAAAUCAACUUGAUAAUUAAUAACAAUAAGCAAUAAUUCAAAUCUUAUAUUUAAUUGUAUUCAUACCUUAUUUCACUAUCUCAAUUCCGUGGGAUUUUUUCUUAUAGUUCAUUUCAAUUCAUAUACAAUUCAUUUCAUUUAAUUUAUAUUCAAUAUCAAUUUUAUUGCAAUUUUUACUCACUAAUAUCAUAUAACAAAAUUUACUCUUUAUCAUAUUAUGAACUUUGGGUUCAUAUAUUUAAAUCUCAUAUCUCGAUUUCCAAUUCACAUAUCAAUUCACAAUUUCACUUUCUCAUUUCUUUCCAUAUCCCAAUCAGUCACACUUAUUCAAAUUUUCUCAUUUCAAUUAUUUACCCCUAUUAACAAGACUCGGACCUUGGCGGAUACACGGAUCCAACCAAACACACCAGAAUGGCACCCAGUGCCUCAUCGGAUAGUUCGAAGCAAUAGUUGACACCCAGUGUCUCAUCGGCAAAGCCGAAGUAAGUUGGUACCCAGUACCUCAUCGAAUCUAUCCGAAGUAACAGUAUGACACCCAGUGUCUCAUCGACUCAAGGUCGAAGUAUCCCUGAACACUUCCAAUCCUAUGGCAUGCCAACUAUAUCCGACUCAGCCCGACUAGUUAAUAGGGUUUCCGAAUCACAUUUCAAUUCAAUCACUUUCUCAUACUUUCAAUUCAAAUCAUUCCAAUUUAAUCACCAUUUGAUUCAAUACAUUUUUCUAUUUCAAAUUCACUUCCCACUUUCAAAUCAAUGUACAGUUCAGUACCAAUACAUAUUUCACAAAUCAUACUUCGAUUCGAAUCAAACCACUUUUCAGUCAAUACUCAAUUCACGUAUUCACACUUAUUCAUAAUUUAAUUCACUUUUAUUCAAUUCAUAUUUUUAAUUCAUUCAAUUAAAUAUCGAUAUUCUCCUUAUUUUUAUUUACUAAACAUAUUAUUCAAAAUUCAACAAUUACUAUCAAUAAAUUCAAUAUCAAUACGUAUAUAUAUAUAUUUCAUUCGAUUCAAUCAUGAUACUCACCUCAAUUUUCUUAUCAUGUAUAUUAAUUUAAAUUUUAACGAUUAAUAAUUAAAUUCGAAUUAUGGUAAUACUAACCGGAAUUUCUCUCGAGUCACUUCUUGUCCACUUUCCCCUUUCCUUUCUCGGACAAUAACUCGUGCACGACAUUAGCUACGUAAUUAAACAAUUAAAAAUCAUUAAUACACAAUUUCAUUAAAACAUUUCCCGUAUACCUAAACUUUACCCAAAUUCUAAUUUAAUCCCUUAUCAAUACUAAUUUUAUUUUUCCAUUCUAACUCUAUAUUCUCUCUUAAUUCUUACUAUAAACUCAGUUUAAUUCUUCAAUUUCCCCAUAAAUCCCUAAUUUCGGGAUUCUUUCAAUUUAAUCCCUAUCAGUUCAAAACUUAUAUUUUAUUUUACAAAUCAAUCUUUUACUAACUUCUAACUUAAAAUUCAAUCAUUUUAACCUCUAGUUCAUCAAUUAAUUCAACAUAACUCAUGUCUAACAAUCUACUAACUUUCAAAAUAUCAACAUAAAUCAAGUAGUAUUUAUCUCUAGGAUUCCAAAAACUCAAAAAUUAUAAGAAAAAGACUUAAUUUGACUUACCAAUUGAGCUUGGAACCUUAAAACCUUAAAUUUCCCUUUUUCUUUUUCUUUCUUUCUUUCUUUCUUUCCUUCCUUCUCUGCCCGUUUUGCUCUCUGUUUCUUUCUCUGUUUCGUCUCUUCUAUUCUGUUUCUUUUCUUUCUUUUUCUAUUCUUUCUUUUGUUUUAUGUAUAUAUAUAAUAUAAUAUAAUAUAUUAAUAAUAAUAUAAUAUAAAAACAUAAUCAUUACUAUAAUAUAAGAAUAUUUUUUUAACACAUAAAAAUCUCAGAUUUUUAUACUUAUGCCGCCUCAACUUUGGAAAAAGGCAUAAUUGCCUAUUUGGUCCUUUUAACUUUUCUUUAAUCUAUAAUUAAACUUUUAUCCCUAUUGCAAUUUAAUCCUUUUUCAUAAUUAACUAUCGAAACGUUAAAAUUUCUUAACGAAACUUUAAUAUUAUCCUAUUGACACUCUGUAAAUAUUUAUAAAAAUAUUUACGGCUCAGUUUAUGAUAUCGAGGUCUCGAUACCUCGUUUUUGACCCAAUUUACCUAAUAAUUUCUUUUAAAUCACAAA